ensembl:lncRNA
CAAAAUUAAAGACCAAAAUAACUUGUGUUCAAAGUUUGCAGGCAUAAAAUGUGAUGUUACUUCAAGGUUUGGAUACAGACUUCAUAAAUAUUCAGGGCUGAAGGUCGCAAGCCGAGGUCUGAGAAGAUUUGUAAGUCAGUGGAAUUUCUGCUUUGGAUGAAAUAACUCACGGUUGUAAAUCUAUGUGCUAGCACACUUCUUAAGCAAGAUACAGUACAGGGAAACUACAAAUAGUGUCUACGUUCCUUCUAUGUGGCUGAGAUUAGAAGACUGUUAACAAUAGAGAGUGGGAAAGUCUGGGACUGGAACGUCAAGAACAAACCGCAGAAGAAGAGAUUGAGGAGCCCAAAACCAUACUCUGCACUUGAGGUGUGGCCUUACCAGUGCCAAGUACAGAGAGAUGAUCACCUCCUCGCUCCUGCUGGCCACACUAUUUUUGAUAUUUUUUGUAUAUUUUUGAUACAGAUGAAGAUCCCAUCGGCCUUCUUGGCAACCUGGCACCCUGCUGGCUCAUUUUCAGCAAGUUGUUGACCAGCACCUCCAGGACUAUUUCUGUCAAGCAACGUGUGAACCAGCCUUCCCCAAGCUUCGUUGUUUUGUUGCUACCCAAGUGCAGCACAUGACACUUAGCCUUGUUGAAUGUCAUUUUUAUUGGAUUUGGCCCAUUGAUCUAGUCCAUCCAGAUCCCUCUGCAAAGACUUCCUACACUAAGGAAUAUUAGCAAUCCUGACUUACUCACUGUAGUCUGUGAACUUACUGAGGAUGUACUCAAUUCUCUCAUUCUGACCAUUGAUUAAAAUGUUAAACAAAAGUGGCUUAAAGAUUGAGCCCUGUGGAAUGCCACUGAUGACAAGUUACCAACUGGACUGAACUCCAUUUGCUAGAACUCUUUGAGUCUGGCCACUCAGCCACUUCUUUGCCCAGAGAACUGUACACCUGUCCAAGCUAUGUGCAGCCAGUUCUUAUUCAGGAGAAUUCCGUGAGAAACAGUUAUACACUUUGGUCAGUCAGGACUUUCCGUUCACAAACACAAGCUGACUUGUUCUGACCACUGAAUUGUCCCUUCUUUGCUGUAUGAUGGCAUUCAAGAUGAUCAGGCCUAGACUCAGUAUAUGUAGCUCCUUCUGGCAUGAAACAGGUCCAUACAUGAUUGAAGUUAGUUGUCAUAUGCCAGUUUUGUUCAUUUCCUGAUAUUCUUUUUCUCUUCACACUUCCGUGAGAAAUUUAAACCCAAAGGAUUUCUUGAAAUACUGUUCACAUCUGAAAACUGGAAGUCAAAUAAUAAAAAUAUCCUGUUUGAUAUGAGGUCAAUCAUUA